rnacentral:tRNA from 1 species
GCUUGGGUGGCUCAGUCAGUUGAGCGACUGACUUCAGUUCAGGUCAUGCAUGAUCUCAUGGCUCGUGGGUUCGAGCCCCAUAUCGGGCU